GACAGAGGGUGCAAACGUUGUUCGGAAUUACUGGGCGUAAAGCGUGUGUAGGCUGCUCCGAUAGUCGGAUGUGAAAGCCCUGGGCUCAACCUAGGAAGUGCAUUCGAUACUCCGGAGCUUGAGUCCUGGAGAGGAAGGCGGAAUUCUCGGUGUAGAGGUGAAAUUCGUAGAUAUCGAGAGGAACACCAGUGGCGAAGGCGGCGAUCUGGGAAGAUACUGACGCUGAGGUGCGAAAGCGUGGGGAGCAAACAGG
rnacentral:rRNA from 1 species